UAAACUACGAUUAGAUACCCUAUUAUUUUAAAUGUAAAAAUAUAGAUGCUUGAGUAGUAAUAGUUAUGUUCUUGAAACUCAAAGAAUUUGGCGGUGUUUUAGUCCUUUCAGAGGAACCUGUCCCGUAAUCGAUAUUCCACGUUUAACCUUACUUAAGUUUAUUUAGCUUGUAUACCGCCGUCGUCAGAAUGUCUUUAGAAAGAGUAAAAUUUUCUUAAAUUUUAAUUAAAAAUGAUGUCAGGUCAAGGUGCAGUUUAUGCUUAAGUGGAGAUGGGUUACAAUAAAUUUAUUUAAUUAUGGAUAUAUUUUUGCAAAUUAAAAUAUUGAAAGUGGAUUUGAUAGUAAUUUAAUUAGAUUUUAUUAAUUUGAUUUUGGCUCUAAAACAUGCACACAUCGCCCGUCGCUCUUA
rnacentral:rRNA from 1 species